rnacentral:rRNA from 1 species
UACGGAGGAUGCAAGCGUUAUCCGGAUUCAUUGGGUUUAAAGGGUGCGCAGGCGGAUUGGUAAGUCAGUGGUGAAAUUCAACGGCUCAACUGUUGAUCUGCCAUUGAUACUGUCAGUCUAGAGUAUAGUUGGAGUGGGCGGAAUGUGUCAUGUAGCGGUGAAAUGCUUAGAUAUGACACAGAACACCGAUCGCGAAGGCAGCUCACUAAGCUAAAACUGACGCUCAUGCACGAAAGCGUGGGGAUCAAACAGG